AUAAAAGAAAAGAAGAGACACCGUCUUUCUUUGAAAUACAGAAUGAGAAAACUGAAUUGCCAAUAGAGACGAUGGGUUGGGGUAGGAGACUAGGGUAAUAGUUCAUCUUGAAUCAUCUCCAGAACUGAAUUCGAAAUAAGCCUCCUCUGCCAGUUAAACCAACCCACCUUGGGAAUUUGAGGUGUGCAGACUGGUACAGCCUGGCUCAGUCCAGGAUUAGGGGCCUGGCGUGAGCUUGCAUUCUCCCAGAACCAGGUCGACUCUGUGAUAGCUCAAGGGGACUAAGGCUUUUACCUCGAUUCUGUGAAGGGAGAGACCGCCCUAAGAAAGUCCUGGAGCCUGCAGAUUGACGGGGCGGAGGAGGAAGGAAGACAGGGGCCAGGGCGGGGAAGAGGUCUCUGUUUUUAAGACUGUCUAAUAGCUUGUUUGUUCUCUCAGGGGAAAGUGAGGGAGGGAUUGGCCAUUUUAGCUCCAUCCCCAGUGGGUCUGUCCUGGGCUCAGUGCGUCCAACUUCUGGACCUGGGUUUCCCUAAAAGGGAAAUCAAGGGUAGAGGAUACUAAUAAAUAAUCUCUGCCCGAAUGGAAUCCAAAUUGGUGCUUUAAUCAUUUAUUUUCUCAUAGCAACAACUCGGUGCCUCCCCCACUCCUGGGGGCGCCUCAUAUACACCGUUAACAUUAGCUUUGCCGAGAAGCCAUUUUGUGCGCAUCGUGCUUAAAUUAUACUAAAAGCGAUUCUGUCUCUCUCUUUGUCUGUCUCCGUCUCUGGUUCUGUCUCUGAGUCUCUUUCUCUUGUGCUCUUGCCUUACUCUCUUUGCCUACCUUUUCACCGUCUCUCAGUCUCCCUCUCGCAAUUGCUAAGACUUUGCUCUUAGGGAAUGGUCUUUGAAGGACAAUGAUUCUGCCCCCACUCUCAUCUCCCACCAAACACCCCAAUAGUCCAUCCGCUGCAAAGACUGUCUACUCCAGAAAACGGGAAAGGAGCCGGGGGCCGGGGCACUUGGGGCAAGCCGCCUCUAAGUGACUGAGAAUUUCCUCCCAAAUAUUGCCAUAUUUUUUCAUUUAAACACCUUGGAUUCAAAUCCAGGUGCUAUUCUUUCAUGAGACCUUUUCUGGUCCCUUUUCUUCCCCACUGUCUCCUUCCUCAGUUUCUUAGGUUCUUGCAGUGGGAAAUUCUGAAGUAGGACUCAGAGAAAAAUGUUUUAGGUUCUAGGCCUCUAGGGACAGGGGAAAGAACUAGAUCUGCUAAGCUGCUUUCUUUUCUAGGAAUCAGAAAAAGAAAGCAGACGAUGUUUGAAUGUGCUUUUGUUCUUUUAAUUUUUUAGGUAGAGAGGGGAACACGGGGUGGUUAUUUUUCAGUUGGCGUAGUGGAGGAAAUUUACUGUUUUUAAAAUAAUUGUCCAUACAGAUAGAACUGUAUUAGAAGGGAAAGUAGAUUUCCCUUCUAAUCUAGUGUUCUGGCAAAGAAAUGUCCAAGUCUACCCAUUCUUCAAAAAUAUUGCUGCUCUCACUAGUAGAUCUCUCUAGAUUUUCCUCUAGCCAACUGUGGUGUGGGCCUAGAAAACCAUUGGAGAAGAGAUUGGGGAAGAAUAGAAGGGAGACUAUGCAAUCAUCCAUCUAGUCCAAACUCUACAUCUAAAUCUAUAGACUAAUUUGAUGAUAUCUACAAUAACUAUGAACCUUUGGCUUCCCAAGCCAUCAACCUUGGGUCAAAGAAUCAGCAACAAUAGGAGAGGGGAAGAUACAGGAAAUGUCUUUAAGAGUUGGCAGAGAAAAAUUAUUUUUUCCAUACUAAAAUCCUCUUCUUUGUAAUAUACCCACAGAGAACUAAUAAAAAAAAAAAAUUAAGGAGAUAUCUAGGUGUUCAAAGCAGCUGAGAUGAAAAUUCAGGGAUAUGGUUUCAAGAUCCAAAACUCCUCUUCUUCAAACAUCCUCCCAAUUAAACUUUCAAAUUUUAAUGGGCUAAGUUCUGCCUAAGUAAGACUACCUUGAGAAAACAAGUCUAGCUAUCCAUAUUAUAGGAAAAAAGAAAGCACUGGAAUAGAGGAGAAGCAAUUCAAACUGGGAGUGACUGAUGUGAAAAGACUGAGGAAGGGAGCAAUCUUCCCCCACUACUGGAGUUUUCAAUUCCUUAAUUGAAUUCAAGGGGCAAUGACUGAAUUGUCCCUGAUUUUACCUAUCAUCUCUACAAAGAUGACUUUAAAAAAAAAAAAAAAAAAAAGAUGGGUUAGAGGAGGCACUGGGAAAAACCUAUUAGAGCCCUAAAAGUCUUGAAAUUCGUUUUCCAUCAGUAAUGAGAUUUAUGAAAUAAUUGAUUUAGGUCACUGGAUGUAUAAUUAGUCCUAGGGCCACACUUGCAAGGUUUAACGAUUAAAAGUGGGAAAACCGAACUCUUGGAGAGGGAAGGGUGAACGUGCUUUAGUGUGUUUUUUUCUGGUCUAGGUACCUAAACAAAAUCUACAUUCCCUUCAUUAUUUUUGCCAAAUGGAAAGGUACACUGAUUGAUGUGACAGGAUGAGAAAAUAUUUACUUGAUUGGAGCUUUAAAAAUAGAGAACCCACGUACUGAUGUUUUCUGUGAAACACUCUAGAGUGGGGUGAGACAGGAGUUUUAAACGUUUUUCCACUUACGACUCCCCAAGCCUGGGAAAAGUGAGAGAGGAAGGAGAUAAACUGCAUCAGCAUUUUGUAUUCUCUAGGGAGAAGCUUUCCAUUCUGCAGCCUGACUCACAGACACACGUGCCAACCUGGGCAGAUACAUAUAUUUGCACACCUACAAGCCUCAUGCAGUUGUUCUGACACACACAUAAGCAUUGGAUGCAUAUAUAAAAAUCCUGACACAUUCGUGCAUAUACAUUCAUAACCCACACUCCACCACCACCACCACCACCACACACAACACGCACACUCGCAUUCAUACUUUCCUGAGGCUUCUCGCUCCUUUUCUCGUGACUCCAUAUAUCAAAUUGGUUCUGUUGUAUGGAAAUCUCAGUCUGCAUAGAGAAGAAUGUGGAUCCUGAGGGGAAGGGGAGCGAAAUUAACUGGAAUGGGACUUAGCAUCAUGUCCCUCACAAGAGACAAGCGUGAAUCUUUCCUCUGCAGCUGAAGACCUCCUCUUACCCCGGGGGGCCAGUGAACGCCAAAUCCAUUGUAAAGUCUGGGUCCGGCUGAGCGCGGGAAGGGGACCUAGAUUUGAAUGCUGGGCCCCUGAUUGGUCUGGGUCAGGUUGACGUCACUUCCCCGCGGGGUGAUUACCAUCAGAAAAGAGGGCUAGUUGGAUAGUGGGCGGGGGUGGGGGGUGCUCCCUGUGUGCGCGGCGCCUCGGGACCUCAGAGCAUGACCUGCAUGCAAACCGACCGCUUCCUCCUAGUGGUCGGAGCCCCCCCACUGGGCAACUCGGGAGGCCCAGAAAGCAACUCCAGGCAGCCCCCCGGGAACUGCCCGGGCUCCAGGAGGGAGAUGCAGGGCGCUCAACUGAUGUCCUCUCUCUCUCUUUCUCUCUUUUUCUCCUUUUGCUCUUUUCCUUGCUUUCCUGGGGGCAGGAGCAGCCCAAGAGGUCGCCUUUCCUUACCAACCAGCCCUCUCCCAACCCAACACGUCGGGCGGGCUCCGGAGGCGGCGGCCAGGGGGCCUACGGGAUCGAGGCCCGUUUCUCUCUUUGGUUAUCUAGCUGUAUGAGUGUUAUUGAGCUAUCAUAAAGCUAGAUAACCGAAAGUAGAAAUGACUUUCACAACUUCUCCGAGCUGGGAGAGCCCCCCCUCCCAACCUACCACCAUCGUCUUCACGUCCCCACAAUCCCCGCCUUGUCCCAGGCGGAGAGGAGGCGGCGGUUGCAACGGAGCCUAAGGACCCAGGAACACGACUUACCAAGUAGAGGCCCCGGGCGGCCCCUACCCAGAACCAGAAGCUGAAAAACAAUUCUGAAUGGCACGAUUUGGGAGGACAAUGGAAGGGAUCCUGUGCAAAUAAGAAAGUGGCUCAACGGCUUUCAUUCAAAAAAGCUGUUGCUACCAAGAUGCACUUGAGAAAUGAACCCAUCUUCAGGGCCAACAAUAUGGGCCACUUGGGUUGUUGAAAGCGCUUUGGAAAGAUUUGCUGUGUAAUCAGAGCAUGCUUCUAAUCGAAUCUUCCGGUGUAGACCCUCUGCACGUUGUGAUCAUAAAUGACAUGGCUGAGAAGGCUCAGGACGGAACGUGGCUUGUACUCCCAGAAGAUGGACCCUAGAGAGGGCUCACUUCUGGGGAGGAAAGUCUCCCAGGUUAGAGGUCACGGGAAGAGAGGAUGGUGAAGAAAAAAUCCUGUCUUUUUGAUACCCAGAAAGUGUUCAAGAAGAGCAGAAAGAAGGAAGACCUCGGAGAGUUCUGCUGCCCUACCCACCCUAGUAGUGCCACAGGCGCAGCAGCUCCCAAGCUGCUCGGUGCCAGGAGGCCAUUUUGAUGGAAGCAAAGAGCCUUCUGCAAGAUAAGAUGGCUGCAUGGGCACGAGCAGUAUAUUACCCAUGAGGCAGAGCUGCCCUUCUUUGAAGCCCUUCAAUUGGUUCUCAAAUUCCCACACAGGGACUCCACUUUACAAAGGAAUCAAGAAGAAGAAACUUCAGGAUAGAAGUUUAAGGCCCUUUGAAGUCUGAAGGAUGGUGAAGAAAAAAAGGAGAAUCUGGUCCACUGAGUCAAAAGGCAGACUGAUUUUAGGUCUGGUUCAGAAGCCCAAGUGCUAAAUAAGAAAACUGAGGUUUCAGAGAUUCCCGAAAGAUCUUGUCCAUCCAGAAAAGAGCUAGGAGUAAGAAGAACUGAAUCCUUCCAAUUCUGUUAUUAACCAAAUUUUUAAAGGAGCAAGUCCCCAGCAAUGGAACAAAGAAUUAACUUUCACUGAGCAACUGAUACUGGGAAGAAGACAAGAUCUUGGGAGUAAUUCCCAUUGGAGCUACACACGUGCAUUUUCUGAAGUUGCCCAGAAUAUGAAAGCCAGUAAAGUUUGGAAAAGGAAGAGAAUGAGGAAGUCAAGAUUACCCAGAAAUGCCACUGAAGUUUGCACAAGAGCUGAGACCUUAGAGCUGUUUUGGGACAUUGAGGACCCUCUGUGAAAACUAUUCUUUUUCAGCCUUUGAGAUACUCCUAUCCCUAGUUAGGGAAAAGGAUGCAGUCAGAGUAGCUUUCACGCUAGUUUUGCUUCUUCCAAUACUAAUUUUCACUCCCUCCCAUCUUCUUUCAAAUAUAUCCUCUGAUUUAAAUAAACAUUUAUUUGCCAAAUAAA